CAAAGAGUAGUUUAGACAAAGAAUGCUAGCUUUGGGAGUUAGUGGUGGCGGUUUGAGUCCGCUCUCUUUGA
rnacentral:tRNA from 1 species